rnacentral:lncRNA from 1 species
AGAGUUCCUAAUAAGCCCCAUGAUGUCCAUUCCAUGAGACCAUGACGCCUAUCUUUAGUACAAUUCGGUUAGUUUCACAAAGUCAAAUAUCAAGAGGCACAGAAAACAUGAACCACAUACCAUGUCAUGAGAUCUUCCACUGAUUAUAGCAGUCAGGAGAAGUGGUGCUACAUGCCUCACAGCAGCAUACAUCUGUGAACAAAAAUCUUUAGAAAGUUGAAUGGAAAAUGCAUUGAUACUGCAACACAUAUAUGGAACAAAUCAAGGCGGAACUAUUGUCCAGUGGCUGAAGUCAGCCCAGGCAUGGGGCUUGAGUACCUUGGGGAAGUAGGGGCAUACACACCUUGGGUUGCCAAUGAGCAUCCUACUACUGCCAUUGGAGCCAAGAUAGAAAAUAGAAACUUAGGCUGUUGCAGCCUGACAGAGCGUAGAGAAAAGGAGCUGAGCAACAUGAAAAAUAAAAUUUCAGAAUGACUUCAUGAACUCUCAAAAAUAGAAUAAUAUGGCAGAGAGCAAAUUUAACAACAACAACAAAAUUAAAACUGUACAAUUAGUAAGGCAAACCAUCCUAACUUUAAAAAAAAUAGUGAGACUAUCAUUCUGAACAAUAGUACAUUUACUUAGCGCAGCUAUGAUAUUCUCACACUGGAUCUACAAUGUCUAUUCCAAUUUCCAUGCCGACAAAUAUAGAGUGGUUCUGUCAGUUAAAAAGAUAAAAAUACCAAAAUUUGGUAUAAAGGGGCAAGAAGAUAAGAUGCCUGUGCGUUCCAGCAUCCACACAAAACACGGAAGCAUGGCCUUGCAUAACUCAACAAACGCAUGCUUUCUUACUUGAAUACCUUGGAGUGAUGACGACUGGUUACUUUUAUUUUUAUAUAGGUGGUAUCUUUCCGAUCACAUAAUUGACAUCCUCUUUCAGAUUUUGGAGUACAUAGAAAGAAGAUUACGGUGGUACUACUCCUAGCAGGACGUACAUUAGUACAUGAAAAGAAGAACGGUUUAAGAACAUAGCAGAAACUGAACGAGGCAAUGCAUCAUGAACUGAACGAGGUCCGCACAGCCGAGCACAAGGAUACCCUUUCCCUCCCUCCCUCCCUCUCAAUUUUAGCAAGGGAUCACAUGGCCUCAAUCCUCAUCUCCGUCUCUCUAUCCUGAUCUGAUUCUCUCCGUCUCAGAUCUGAUUCUCUCCGUCUUGAUCCAAACAGAGAAAAGAGGGAAGAUGAACCUGAGGGAGGAAGUCGAUCGCAUGGUGGUGAACGCAGG